rnacentral:rRNA from 1 species
UACGGAGGUGGCUAGCGUUGUUCGGAAUUACUGGGCGUAAAGGGCGCGUAGGCGGCUUUGCAAGUCGGAUGUGAAAGCCCCGGGCUCAACUCGGGAAUUGCAUCCGAAACUGCUUUGCUUGAGUCCUGGAGGGGGUAGUGGAAUUCCCAGUGUAGCGGUGAAAUGCGUAGAUAUUGGGAGGAACACCGGUGGCGAAGGCGGCUACCUGGACAGUGACUGACGCUGAGGCGCGAAAGCUAGGGGAGCGAACGGGA